UAGGGAAUCUUCCGCAAUGGACGAAAGUCUGACGGAGCAACGCCGCGUGAGUGAUGAAGGUUUUCGGAUCGUAAAGCUCUGUUGCCAGGGAAGAACACUAGGAAGAGUAACUGCUUUCUAGUUGACGGUACCUGAGAAGAAAGCCCCGGCUAACUACGUGCCAGCAGCCGCGGUAAUACGUAGGGGGCAAGCGUUGUCCGGAAUUAUUGGGCGUAAAGCGCGCGCAGGCGGUUAAUUAAGUCUGGUGUUUAAGGCUGAGGCUCAACCUCAGUACGCACUGGAAACUGGUUAACUUGAGUACAGAAGAGGAAAGUGGAAUUCCACGUGUAGCGGUGAAAUGCGUAGAGAUGUGGAGGAACACCAGUGGCGAAGGCGACUUUCUGGGCUGUAACUGACGCUGAGGCGCGAAAGCGUGGGGAGCAAACAGGAUUAGAUACCCCCGUAGUCC
rnacentral:rRNA from 1 species